rnacentral:rRNA from 3 species
ACACCCGUUCCCAUACCGAACACGGAAGUUAAGCUCUCUAGCGCCGAUGGUAGUUGGGACCUUGUCCCUGUGAGAGUAGGACGUUGCCAGGCA